rnacentral:rRNA from 1 species
GACGAACGCUGGCGGCGUGCUUAACACAUGCAAGUCGAACGUGAUUUUUGUAGAAAUUCUUUCGGGAAUGGAAAUGAAAUGAAAGUGGCGAACGGGUGAGUAACACGUGAGCAACCUACCUUACACAGGGGGAUAGCCGUUGGAAACGACGAUUAAUACCGCAUGAGACCACAGAAUCGCAUGAUAUAGGGGUCAAAGAUUUAUCGGUGUAAGAAGGGCUCGCGUCUGAUUAGCUAGUUGGAAGGGUAAAGGCCUACCAAGGCGACGAUCAGUAGCCGGUCUGAGAGGAUGAACGGCCACAUUGGAACUGAGACACGGUCCAAACUCCUACGGGAGGCAGCAGUGGGGAAUAUUGCACAAUGGGGGGAACCCUGAUGCAGCGACGCCGCGUGAGCGAAGAAGGUUUUCGAGUCGUAAAGCUCUGUCCUAUGAGAAGAUAAUGACGGUAUCAUAGGAGGAAGCCCCGGCUAAAUACGUGCCAGCAGCCGCGGUAAUACGUAUGGGGCGAGCGUUGUCCGGAAUUAUUGGGCGUAAAGGGUACGUAGGCGGUUUUUUAAGUCAGGUGUGAAAGCGUGAGGCUUAACCUCAUUAAGCACUUGAAACUGGAAGACUUGAGUGAAGGAGAGGAAAGUGGAAUUCCUAGUGUAGCGGUGAAAUGCGUAGAUAUUAGGAGGAAUACCGGUGGCGAAGGCGACUUUCUGGACUUUUACUGACGCUCAGGUACGAAAGCGUGGGGAGCAAACAGG